UACGUAGGGGGCAAGCGUUGUCCGGAAUCAUUGGGCGUAAAGAGCGUGUAGGCGGCCCGAUUAGUCCGCUGUGAAAGUCCAGGGCUCAACCCUGGAAUGCCGGUGGAUACUGUCGGGCUAGAGUCCGGAAGGGGCGAGUGGAAUUCCUGGUGUAGCGGUGAAAUGCGCAGAUAUCAGGAGGAACACCGGUGGCGAAGGCGGGUCUCUGGGCCGAUACUGACGCUGGAGGAGCGAAAGCGUGGGGAGCGAACAGGA
rnacentral:rRNA from 1 species